rnacentral:rRNA from 1 species
AGGGCACCACCAGGAGUGGAGCCUGCGGCUUAAUUUGACUCAACACGGGAAAACUCACCCGGCCCGGACACUGGAAGGAUUGACAGAUUGAGAGCUCUUUCUUGAUUCAGUGGGUGGUGGUGCAUGGCCGUUCUUAGUUGGUGGAGUGAUUUGUCUGGUUAAUUCCGAUAACGAACGAGACUCUAGCCUACUAAAUAGAUCGUCGGCUUACAAACGCCGACGAGACUUCUUAGAGGGACAAACGGUGAUUCAACCGUACGAAACAGAGCAAUAACAGGUCUGUGAUGCCCUUAGAUGUCCGGGGCCGCACGCGCGCUACGCUGAAGUGAUCAGCGUGCAUUUUCAGCCUACUCUGUCAAGAGUGGGAAACCCAAUGAACCUUCUUCGUGAUUGGGAUAGGGGAUUGUAAUUAUUCCCCUUGAGCGAGGAAUUCCCAGUAAGCGCGAGUCAUAAGCUCGCGUUGAUUACGUCCCUGCCCUUUGUACACACCGCCCGUCGCUACUACCGAUUGAAUGUUUU